rnacentral:lncRNA from 1 species
UAGCGACGUUUCUUCACGUGAGAGGAGUAGCAGUUAAAGCCUGGCAACCGAUCCUGAGGGUACUCAAUUCAUUCCAUUGAGGAAAAUACUGCACUGAGAUAACAAGUUGAUAGUGAUAUUGAGUGAUUUGUACUGAGGCCUAUUGUUGAGAGAGGGUAGAUUUGUAUGUUAGCUAGAGAUCUGCUUCACUAUUAGGAUUGUUAUUUUAGUUCAUAAAUAUUUGAGGAACAGAGGGUCAGCCUCUG